ensembl:lncRNA
GUGGGGUCAAGCGCGCACCGCAGGAGCGAGCCUGGCCGCCCGCCGGGCCGCGGAGACAGUCGCCCCGCGCCCAGGUAGGGACCGGCCGGCAAGGGACCUCGGCGGGGAGUGCAUAUGCCUGAACGACCGUCUGCUCUACGCCUAGUGGGGAGAGGGGUGGUCUGCGAGGCCGUGUCUAGGAGGGCAGCCGGAACGUUCUCCUGCCAGGGAUCCUCCCCCUCCGUCUGCGGGACCGCGUCUACGCUGUGUCUUUUGGAGCCUGCUCUGGCCUUGCCGACGCCCCGCCAUCUGAGUCCCUUCCCCAGCUCUGGCCUGCGGAGCUGACUCCACACCCGGCGCAUCAUCCGCCCCGCCCCGCCCGCCCCGGCCCUUGGUGGAGGCCGUGUCUAUGCGGAGUGGGCCCUGCGGGUGUACCCACGUGUGGCUCUCUGCGGAGCGCCCUCGCAAUGGAGUGGUGUGUGGAGACCAGUCACGCGGACAUGGGCGUGCGCCUGCCUGGGGAGGAGUGUGUUGGAGUGCCCUGGAAGAUUGUGUCACAGGCUACAGGUUCCAGGACUGUGCCCUGAUGGGCUGCAAGGCUGUGCAUCCCGCAGGAGGAUUCGGGAGUGUGGGAGAAGCACAGGGCUUGUGUCCUUGAGGAUCCCAGGGAAGAGGCCCUGGCCUCCCCGACAGCCCUGCGCUUACAGAUUGAGCAUCUACUGUGUGUCAGACUCUGGGAGACCUACACAUUUUGGGGACACUCUGCCUGCUCCUUGGUCUCCCACCCUGGUCUCCACGGAAGCCAGAGUCAUUUUAGACCUCAUCCAAAUGAGUCACUACCCUUCUCAAAAUCUUCUGGUUUAGGAUGCCUUCUGGUCUCUGUCCACGGAGUCCCACUCCACCCCAAACCAAGCCCAAGGUCUCGGACAGGGCUGCCUCAUGCUCAGUGUGAACUCCCAGCCUCUUCUCUCCUGAAAUCCUAUGCAGCAGGCAAACAAAAGAGCUUCAGUGUCACCUCCUCCAGGAAGCCUUCCCAAGGUGGGCUUGGUGGCACACACCUGUAAUCCCAGCACUCAGGAGGAUAACAAGUUUGAGACCAGCCUGGGCAGCUUCGUGAGAUCUCAUCUUAAAAAAAAAAAAAAAAUAAAUAAAUAAAUAAAUAAAUAAAUAAAAUAAAAAGGGCUAGGGCUGUAGCUCAGUGCAAAGAGCCUGAAUUCAAUUUUUUCAGUAUUAAACAAAACAAAACAAAACAAAAAAACCCAAGCUGCCCCAGAGGCCAACGCACUGUCUGAACCUUCUCUUGAGAUUUAACCCCUCUUGCCAUCUGGUGCCUCUCUCCACUCCAGUUACAUCAGCCUCUUUGCUGUUCCUCAAACAGAGCAAACCCAGUCCCACUCAUGAUGCUUGCACUGGCUGGCCCCUCUGCCUGAAAUGCCCUUCCCUAACUGUCCAUACUGCUUGCUUUCUUCUUUCCUUCUAUUAUCUGCUCAAAUCCUGCACCUAAAAGGCCUUCCUGAACCACACUGAAUCAGUCUCAUCCCCCAGCCCAUUAUUCUUUUUUUUUUUGUACCAGGGAUCAAACUCAGGACCUUGCACUUGCAAGGCAGGCGAGGUGCCACUGAGCUAAAUCCCUGGCCCUCCAGCCCAUUAUUCUUAAUCUCUGUUACAGCUGUAGCUUUCUUCAUAGUGCAUAUCAAUUACCAGGUGUAUGCUAGUUAUUGGCUUUAUUUGUUGCUUGCUGCUCGUAUUAGAAAAUAAGCUGUGUGAGAGCAGGCA